GACGAACGCUGGCGGCGUGCUUAACACAUGCAAGUCGAGCGGUAAGGCCCUUUCGGGGUACACGAGCGGCGAACGGGUGAGUAACACGUGGGUGACCUGCCCUCAGCUCUGGGAUAAGCCUGGGAAACCGGGUCUAAUACCGGAUAUGACUCCAUGACGCAUGUUGUGGGGUGGAAAGCCUUGUGCGGCUGAGGAUGGGCCCGCGGCCUAUCAGCUUGUUGGUGGGGUGAUGGCCUACCAAGGCGACGACGGGUAGCCGGCCUGAGAGGGCGACCGGCCACACUGGGACUGAGACACGGCCCAGACUCCUACGGGAGGCAGCAGUGGGGAAUCUUGCGCAAUGGGCGAAAGCCUGACGCAGCGACGCCGCGUGAGGGAUGACGG
rnacentral:rRNA from 1 species